rnacentral:rRNA from 1 species
GACGAACGCUGGCGGCGUGCUUAACACAUGCAAGUCGAACGGAAAGGCCCUGCUUUUGUGGGGUGCUCGAGUGGCGAACGGGUGAGUAACACGUGAGUAACCUGCCCUUGACUUUGGGAUAACUUCAGGAAACUGGGGCUAAUACCGGAUAGGAGCUCCUGCUGCAUGGUGGGGGUUGGAAAGUUUCGGCGGUUGGGGAUGGACUCGCGGCUUAUCAGCUUGUUGGUGGGGUAGUGGCUUACCAAGGCCUUGACGGGUAGCCGGCCUGAGAGGGUGACCGGCCACAUUGGGACUGGGAUGCGGCCCAGACUCCUACGGGAGGCAGGAGUGGGGAAGAGAGCACAAUGGGCGGAAGCCUGAUGCAGCAACGCCGCGUGCGGGAUGACGGCCUUCGGGUUGUAAACCGAUUUCGCCUGUGACGAAGCGUGAGUGACGGGAAUGGGAAAAGAAGCACCGGCUAACUACAU